GUGUGAGCCACCGCACCCGGCCAUGCCUGGCUAAUUUUUGUAUUUUUAGUAGAGACGGGGUUUCACCAUCUUGGCCAGACUGGUCUCGAACUCUUGACCUCAGGUGAUCCACCCGCCUUGGCCUCCCAAAGUGUUGAGAUUACAGGCGUGAGCCACUGCGCCCAGCUGUCUUUACUUUUUUGAGACGGAGUCUCGCUCUGUCGCCCAGGCUGGAGUUAUGCGGUGGCGCAAUCUCGGCUCACUGCAACCUCAGCCUCCCGGGUAGCUGGGAUUACAGGCACCCGCCACCACGCCAGGCUCAUUUUUUUGUAUUUUUUUAGUAGAGAUGAGGAUUCACCAUGUUGGCCAGGCUGGUCUCGAACUCCUGACUUCAAGUGAUCCUCCCACCUCGGCCUCCCAAAGUGCUAGGAUUACAGGCGUGAGCCACCGCGCCCGGCCUGUAGUGUGUUUUUAGAUGAUGUCAUCUACUCCUAGCUCUUUAAUUAAGCACCAUGUGUCAAUGACUUUCUAUUUUCUAGUUCCAGCCGUGGCCUCUCUUGAAACCACUCCCUGCCAGCUGGUUCCUCAGUGGCCAGCUCCACCUGGAUAUGUCCACAAAGUUACCACCUUAGCAAGUCUGAAGUCCAAUUCCCGAGUUGUUUCUACUCUCCACCCAGCCCCAACCUAUCCCUCCCCAAGGAUCUUCAUCUUACUUGUCCAGGUGACAGUAGGGCUGUCAUCGGGUUCAUGUCGAAGCCCACAGCCACUUUUGUCACUUCCCCUCUAAGACCACGCCUCUCCACCUGGACUGCCCACCUCCUCUCUCUCACCACUCAUUUUCCAAAAAGCAGCUGGUCUGCUACCUGCGUUGGGAGAUACUGACUAUACUAAUCCUCAUGUCAUAGCUCGGGGAGCUGACGUCCUCAGAGGUGAAAGGAUUUGGUUAAGGUCAAGGAACGAGUGUUUGUGCAGAGUCCUCCAUUUCCAAAACCAAACCCAGUGGUUCACCCGGGCCUCUCCAGACACAGAUGUCGCGACGCUGGGCCUCCAGCCAGACCUGUAACUUCAGCCUGGAGUUGAGCAGAAACAUGGCUUCCUUGUCUUCAAGUCAUUCUUGGGCUUCAGAGCGAAGAUGCUGGACCUUUGAACCAACAAGCAGGUUACUGGUACCUUUGCCCUGAGAAUACGCUGGUGGUGCUUGUGGCUGCAGUGUUUACCCCGAGAUAACUUUGCCAUGAAGUAUCUUCCUUUUAUUAUUUUUUCAUCGCUCUAGUAUAUCGACUUUGGAAACAAAAGACAUCACUCUAUUUAGAGCAUUCCUUUCUUAGUAGUGGUAUUUCCAUUGACAAAAAAAUAGUAAUUCUGAAUUGCCGAAAAUGUCAAAUCGUAGAAAAUGUUGUUAGCCGAAGAUUCAUCUGAUGAAUCAGAUUUUUCCAAAAUAGAUGAUUCUGAUGUUAGUUCUGUUUAGAAAUAACUCCAAGUACAGUUUUUAUAUAUUAUUUUCACAUUGAAAAUCAGUCAGAUUUACUUCAGCCUCAAAGAGUGUGUUUAUGUAAAAAUAAAUGAGCACUGGCAACCUCCGCCUCCCGGGUUCAAGCAAUUCUCCUGCCUCAGCCUCCCCAGUAGCUGAAAUUACAGGCGCCCGCCACCACACCUGGCUAAUUUUUGUAUUUUUAGUAGAGACGAGGUUUCACUAUGUUGGCCAGGCUGAUCUUGAACUCCUGACCUCAGGUGAUCUGCCUGCCUCAGCCUCCCAAAGUGCUGAGAUAUAUAGGUGUGAGCCACGGCACCCGGCUGGCUUUUCAAUGGUAUAUGGGAAUGAGCUGCUUGGUCAGCUGGAUAAAUGUACUGUCAGCCUCAGGACUGCCUGCAUUCACCCUGGGAAGCAGUCAAA
rnacentral:lncRNA from 1 species